rnacentral:rRNA from 1 species
GUGAGGAAUAUUGCGCAAUGGAGGCAACUCUGACGCAGCCAUGCCGCGUGCAGGAAGAAGGCGCUACGCGUUGUAAACUGCUUUUAACCGGGAAGAAACCCCAGGACGUGUCCUGGGUUGACGGUACCGGGGGAAUAAGCACCGGCUAACUUCGUGCCAGCAGCCGCGGUAAUACGAAGGGUGCAAGCGUUAUCCGGAUUCAUUGGGUUUAAAGGGUGCGUAGGCGGAGCGUUAAGUCAGUGGUGAAAUCCUGCAGCUUAACUGUAGACUUGCCAUUGAUACUGGCGCUCUUGAGUGCGCUUGAAGUGGGCGGAAUGUGCCGUGUAGCGGUGAAAUGCAUAGAUAUGUCACAGAACACCAAUUGCGAAGGCAGCUCACUAAGGCGAUACUGACGCUGAGGCACGAAAGCGUGGGGAUCGAACAGGAUUAGAUACCCGUGUAGUCC